rnacentral:rRNA from 1 species
GUAACGGAGGGAGCUAGCGUUGUUUCGGAAUUACUAGGGCGUAAAGCGCGCGUUAGGCGGCUUUGUAAGUUAGAGGUGAAAGCCCGGGGCUCAACCCCGGAACUGCCUUUAAGACUGCAUCGCUUGAAUCCGGGAGAGGUGAGUGGAAUUCCGAGUGUAGAGGUGAAAUUCGUAGAUAUUCGGAAGAACACCAGUGGCGAAGGCGGCUCACUGGACCGG